rnacentral:rRNA from 1 species
GACGAACGCUGGCGGCGUGCUUAACACAUGCAAGUCGAACGGAAAGGCCCUGCUUUUGUGGGGUGCUCGAGUGGCGAACGGGUGAGUAACACGUGAGUAACCUGCCCUUGACUUUGGGAUAACUUCAGGAAACUGGGGCUAAUACCGGAUAGGAGCUCCUGCUGCAUGGUGGGGGUUGGAAAGUUUCGGCGGUUGGGGAUGGACUCGCGGCUUAUCAGCUUGUUGGUGGGGUAGUGGCUUACCAAGGCUUUGACGGGUAGCCGGCCUGAGAGGGUGACCGGCGAAAUUGGGACUGAGAUACGGAACAGAAUCGUACGGGAGGAAGCAGUGGGGAAUAUUGCACAAUGGGAGGAAGCAUGAUGAAGAAACGCCGCGUGCGGGAUGACGGCCUUCGGGUUGUAAACAGAUUUCGACUGUGACGAAGCGUGAGUGACGGUAAUGGGUAAAGAAGCACCGGCUAACUACGUG